rnacentral:miRNA from 1 species
UAUUAGGUUGAUGCAAAAGUAACUGCAAUUUUUGUUACUUUUAAUGGCAAAAACUGCAAUUACUUUUGCAGCAGCCUAAUA